rnacentral:snRNA from 12 species
UUUGUUCCCCAGCUUUUGGCUUUGAUCAAGUGUAGUAUCUGUUCUUUUGAUUUUGAUAAAUCAAACGUGGCUUCGGUCACGCUUUAUAUCAAAUCAUUCUUUGGCUUGGGGAGGCGGCGUGUGCAGCUUGCUGUGCUCGCCGUCUCGCGUGCUGCGCGUCCUUUGCACUAACUGGGACGAAUGCUGCGGCGCACCUACU